rnacentral:rRNA from 1 species
AAAUUGAAGAGUUUGAUCAUGGCUCAGAUUGAACGCUGGCGGCAGGCCUAACACAUGCAAGUCGAACGGUAACAGGAAGCAGCUUGCUGCUUCGCUGACGAGUGGCGGACGGGUGAGUAAUGUCUGGGAAACUGCCUGAUGGAGGGGGAUAACUACUGGAAACGGUAGCUAAUACCGCAUAAUGUCGCAAGACCAAAGAGGGGGACCUUCGGGCCUCUUGCCAUCGGAUGUGCCCAGAUGGGAUUAGCUUGUUGGUGGGGUAACGGCUCACCAAGGCGACGAUCCCUAGCUGGUCUGAGAGGAUGACCAGCCACACUGGAACUGAGACACGGUCCAGA